GCAAACCCUCCUGGGAAUGGCAGAGCAUUAUAUGGGGGGAAACACUCCAAUACUGGACUCGCUGGCAACUUAGGAAUGGGGAAGCUCUUUUUUGUAAGGAAGAUAAGUGGAUUUCUAAAUCUUUUCCCCGCACACCAACUGUUAAAGCAUCGCAUGAUCCAUUUGUUGUAAGGGUUUCUCAACUCAUUAAUGCUUCUUCUAAGAGCUAGG
rnacentral:misc_RNA from 1 species